ACGCUAGCUACAGGCUUAACACAUGCAAGUCGAGGGGAAACGACAUUGAGUGCUUGCACUCUUUGGACGUCGACCGGCGCACGGGUGAGUAACGCGUAUCCAACCUUCCCAUUACUGUGGGAUAACCUGCCGAAAGGCAGACUAAUACCGCAUAGUCUUCGAUGACGGCAUCAGAUUUGAAGUAAAGAUUUAUCGGUAAUGGAUGGGGAUGCGUCUGAUUAGCUUGUUGGCGGGGUAACGGCCCACCAAGGCAACGAUCAGUAGGGGUUCUGAGAGGAAGGUCCCCCACAUUGGAACUGAGACACGGUCCAAACUCCUACGGGAGGCAGCAGUGAGGAAUAUUGGUCAAUGGACGGAAGUCUGAACCAGCCAAGUAGCGUGCAGGAUGACGGCCCUAUGGGUUGUAAACUGCUUUUGUAUGGGGAUAAAGUUAGGGACGUGUCCCUAUUUGCAGGUACCAUACGAAUAAGGACCGGCUAAUUCCGUGCCAGCAGCCGCGGUAAUACGGAAGGUCCAGGCGUUAUCCGGAUUUAUUGGGUUUAAAGGGAGCGUAGGCUGGAGAUUAAGUGUGUUGUGAAAUGUGGACGCUCAACGUCUGACUUGCAGCGCAUACUGGUUUCCUUGAGUACGCACAACGUUGGCGGAAUUCGUCGUGUAGCGGUGAAAUGCUUAGAUAUGACGAAGAACUCCGAUUGCGAAGGCAGCUGACGGGAGCGCAACUGACGCUUAAGCUCGAAGGUGCGGGUAUCAAACAGGAUUAGAUACCCUGGUAGUCCGCACAGUAAACGAUGGAUGCCCGCUGUUGGUACCUGGUAUCAGCGGCUAAGCGAAAGCAUUAAGCAUCCCACCUGGGGAGUACGCCGGCAACGGUGAAACUCAAAGGAAUUGACGGGGGCCCGCACAAGCG
rnacentral:rRNA from 1 species